UACGUAGGGGGCAAGCGUUGUCCGGAUUUAUUGGGCGUAAAGAGCGUGUAGGCGGCCAGACAAGUCUGCUGUGAAAACUCGAGGCUCAAACCUCGAGCUGUCGGUGGAAACUGUCUGGCUAGAGUCCGGAAGAGGAGAGUGGAAUUCCUGGUGUAGCGGUGAAAUGCGCAGAUAUCAGGAAGAACACCUAUGGCGAAGGCAGCUCUCUGGGACGGUACUGACGCUGAGACGCGAAAGCGUGGGGAGCGAACAGG
rnacentral:rRNA from 1 species